CAGCCAGCAGAUCGCGCACGUAACAUUAACUCUGUCACACGCACGCGUGCGAACGUGCACGUAAAAGACUCUGUGUGUUUGUUGUGUGUGUGUGUGAACGCUUUCUUUGUUUGUUUUGAUUAUUGGAAAAUAGUCCUCGUAUCGCUGCCUGCAAAAAUCGGAUGCAGCCCGGUUUCAGUCACGUGACUCUCGCAUCAGCUCCAAAGAGCUCAUUCGUCAAAGCACAGCGCCUCAGCGACGAGGUUACAUUACAUAAAGGACUUCAUAGACACAGAUCGAGACAAAGUCAGAAGCAGACGACAGACAGAGACACGAAGACAGUGAGAAACAGAGACAAACAGAGACAACUUGGGACAAGGAGACAAAGAGAAGCAGCGCCACAGAGAGCGUGAAGACAAAGACAAAGGAAAGAACGCCAUGCAUCUCCUUCAGUUGUUUAUGUCGACGACCCAAAGAUGAUUCACAGCAAGAUUCUGACACCGAGAAGGAAAAAUCACUAUUGAUUAUGUCCUCCGUGGAAAAUGCCAGCUUCGUGGAGGCCUUCGACACCGUCAUCAGGAGGAAGAAAAUCAACCGCGCGGCCAUUUUGGAUCACCAAGGCAACAGUCUGGUUAUCAUGGCCGGCUGGAGGGUGUUGCCAGACGAAGGGAUGUCCUUACUGAGGGCACUAAGGUCAGCCAGACGCACUGAGAUGUGGAAGCUGCGGCUCUUUGAGGAGGAGUUCAUGUGCUUCCCUUGCGAUGAGAAGGAGACAAUCCUGGGCAGGUCUCACCUCACCGUCCUCGUGGCCCACCUGACUCGGAAGUACAUCGUGGUGGGCCUCGCACGUCGACACACCUGGUUCCUGUCUGCACGAGAUGAAAACAGUGUGGACAGAAAUAGAAAAGGAUAAAGAAUAAAUCGGAUUUCAGGACAGAAUUCUAAUUAAAUACAGACAAAUAAAGGUAAAAACACUCACCACAAAGGUUUCAAGUGCCUCAAAUCAAAUGAUAGAGGAGAACGGAAGUGUAUUUCUCUUCCAACACCUUUAUUUGGCUAAGAUAUUGUUCCACACUAGCAACAUUGUCUUAAACGCUGAGAUUACAAAUGCAAUAAGUGUGACAAGCAUUGUUCUGAAACUUAUGGACAGACUGUGGUUCAGUGUGAAGCCGCCAUAUUGGUACUCAUAAAUAGAUAAGCUCAGUAAAUUGAAUGACUUGCCAAUUUAUUUUCGUAUUUUUAUAAACUCUUUUUUUUUUUUGCUUUCUUGGACUGCAUUAGAUCUUUGAUUUCAAAACUUAGGAGGUGGAUGUCAGUAUGUUCAUGUGCGAUGCUGGUUUAUAUGAUGUUAAGUGUAGUAAGAUGGCUGUGUUGUGGCUCAAGCAAGUUGUAUUAUUACACCACGCACAAAUUAUUUCGGGAAUCAAUCAUGACAAGUCACAGUAAUUAGCUGUCACAUUCCUAUAAGUAUGACAAGUAGCGGUGACCAAAAGGGAAGAAAUAAAAUUAGCAACUCACGACGGUCAUCACACACAAGACACAAACAUUUAAUUAAUUACUGACAACAGAAUUUUACACGUGGCCCUUCCAGCGUGGAAAAAAGACAUCUAGCUACAGUAUCCCUUUGUCUUGUGGAGGAUAUGGAAUGUAAGCAAGUGUUUUAAAUGUUAUCCUGUACAUAAUCUGCAUGAUUCAUUUCUCGAGAUCAUGGCGAGAGGAAACGCUGGGCUGCACAUGCGCGGACGGGGUCAAGGCUGCAUGACUUGGUUACGUCACGAUGUCGGUGGGUUUUUUUCAGUUGUCGGUGUUUAAUGCUUGUAAACAUGAUUGUUGGUGCAAUUGACUGAUUACAGAACCAAAAUAAAUAUUAUUUCUUUUGCUUC